GUCUACAGCCAUACCACCUUGAACACUCCCAGUCUUAUCUGAUCUUGGAAGAUAAGCAGGGUUGGACCUGGUUAGUAGUUAGUACUGGGGUUGGCUACA
ensembl:rRNA 5S_rRNA 5S ribosomal RNA